rnacentral:rRNA from 1 species
AUUGAACGCUGGCGGCAGGCCUAACACAUGCAAGUCGAACGAGUGGCGGACGGGUGAGUAAUGUCUGGGAACCUGCCUGAUGGAGGGGGAUAACUACUGGAAACGGUAGCUAAUACCGCAUACCAUCAGAUGUGCCCAGAUGGGAUUAGCUAGUUGGUGGGGUAACGGCUCACCAAGGCGACGAUCCCUAGCUGGUCUGAGAGGAUGACCAGCCACACUGGAACUGAGACACGGUCCAGACUCCUACGGGAGGCAGCAGUGGGGAAUAUGGCACAAUGGGCGAAAGCCUGAUGCAGCCACGCCGCGUGUAUGAAGAAGGUCUUCGGGUUGUAAAGCACUGUCAGCGGGGAGGCGUUACCCGCAGAAGAAGCACCGGCUAACUCCGUGCCAGCAGCCGCGGUAAUUC